GUUAAAAAGGCUCGUAGUUGGAUCUCGGCGGGAGGGGGUGGUUCGCUCUUCAGCGCUACUGCCCCGCUUUGCCCUGUGAUUGGCGGAGUUUCGGGGUGCUCUUCGUUGAGUGACUCGAGCGCCGUCAGUUUACUUUGAAAAAAUUAGAGUGCUCAAAGCANGCUUUUCACGCUUGAAUAUUCGUGCAUGGAAUAAUGGAAUAGGAACUCGUUUCUAUUUUGUUGGUUUUCGGAAAUCGAGUUAAUGAUUAACAGGGACAAUUGGGGGCAUUAGUAUUCAGACGACAGAGGUGAAAUUCUUGGACCGUCUGAAGACUGACUACUGCGAAAGCAUUUGCCAAGAGUGUUUUCAUUAAUCAAGAACGAAAGUUAGAGGUUCGAAGGCGAUCAGAUACCGCCCUAGUUCUAACCAUAAACGAUGCCAGCUAGCGAUCUGCCGAGUUUUUUUUGUANGCUCCGCAGGAAGCUUUCGGGAAACCAAAGCUUUUGGGUUCCGGGGGAAGUAU
rnacentral:rRNA from 1 species